GCUAGGUGUGGUGGCCCACGCCUAUAAUCCUAGCCUCUUGGGAGGCUGAGGCAAGAGGAUUUCGAGUUUGAAGCCAGCCUUAGCAAUAGAGAGGCACUAAGCAACUCAGUGAGAUCCUGUCUCUA
rnacentral:sRNA from 1 species